rnacentral:rRNA from 1 species
UACGUAGGCAGCGAGCGUUGUUCGGAGUUACUGGGCGUAAAGCGUGCGUAGGCGGUGGUCCAAGUCUGGUGUGAAAUCUCCCGGCUCAACUGGGAGGGUGCGCCGGAAACUGGGCCGCUGGAGUAUGGGAGAGGCAAGCGGAAUUCCAGGUGUAGCGGUGAAAUGCGUAGAUAUCUGGAGGAACACCCGUGGUGCAGACGGCUUGCUGGACCAUAACUGACGCUGAGGCACGAAAGCGUGGGUAGCAAACAGG